AACGAACGCUGGCGGCAUGCCUAACACAUGCAAGUCGAACGAAGCCUUCGGGCUUAGUGGCGCACGGGUGCGUAACGCGUGGGAAUCUGCCCCUUGGUUCGGAACAACAGUUAGAAAUGACUGCUAAUACCGGAUAACGACGAAAGUCCAAAGAUUUAUCGCCGAGGGAUGAGCCCGCGUAAGAUUAGGUAGUUGGUGGGGUAAUGGCCUACCAAGCCGACGAUCUUUAGCUGGUCUGAGAGGAUGAUCAGCCACACUGGGACUGAGACACGGCCCAGACUCCUACGGGAGGCAGCAGUGGGGGAAUAUUGGACAAUGGGCGAAAGCCUGAUCCAGCAAUGCCGCGUGAGUGAUGAAGGCCUUAGGGUUGUAAGCUCUUUUACCAGGGAUGAUAAUGACAGUACCUGGAGAAUAAGCUCCGGCUAACUCCGUG
rnacentral:rRNA from 1 species